rnacentral:rRNA from 1 species
AACGAACGCUGGCGGCAUGCCUAACACAUGCAAGUCGAACGAGACCUUCGGGUCUAGUGGCGCACGGGUGCGUAACGCGUGGGAACCUGCCCUUAGGUUCGGAAUAACUCCCCGAAAGGGGUGCUAAUACCGGAUAAUGUCUUCGGACCAAAGAUUUAUCGCCUUUGGAUGGGCCCGCGUUGGAUUAGCUAGUUGGUAGGGUAAAAGCCUACCAAGGCGACGAUCCAUAGCUGGUCUGAGAGGAUGAUCAGCCACACUGGGACUGAGACACGGCCCAGACUCCGGCGGGAGGCAGCAGUGGGGAAUAUGGGACACUGGGCGAAAGCCUGAUCCACCACUGCCGCGUGAGUGAUGAAGGCCUUAGGGUUGUAAAGCGCUUUGACCCGGGAUGAUAAUGACAGUACCUGGAGAAUAGGCUCCGGCUAACUCCGU